rnacentral:tRNA from 2 species
GCCCUUGCGCUACAAGGAUUGUAGGAAGUUUCCUAAUCUGUAGGUCACAGGUUCGAUUCCUGUCGGGAUCACCA